rnacentral:lncRNA from 1 species
AAUAUUGGUGUGUUUACAUCCCUGAAACUUAGCAGUUCAGCAAAAGAGACAGGUAGAAUAAGUACCAGGCUUACAAAGAAUAAGUCCUGGAGUUGAUUUCUUCAACUGAAAUAAGUAAACGAAAUAUAUAUAUUGUCAUUUGAUGUCACUUUUUCCAUGCUGGCAUGGCUUGGACAGUUCAACGUGAACAAACAAGCUACAGAAAUGCCCCAAGUUCCAGUGUCUACUUUGGCAUGGUUUCUAUAGUUAUGUGUCCUUUCUAAUGCUAUCCUUUUCAGAGUGUAUCAAGUGCUUUUUGUGUGUGUGGCAUCCGGUCUGAAAUCAACAAGUACUUGCAAGACAAGACAGAGUAAGGUAUAGUAUUGAGGGAUAAAAUCAGGUGUCUUGCUGAAGGGGUAAAUGCAUGUCUUGCUCAUCUGGAAAGAGAGAGAGAUGUGGUCAUGGUUCAAGGUGAAUACUUAAGAUAGAGGAGCAGAAAAAAGUGAAUGUAUAGGUAAGUGCACUAGAGUGAAAAUAGUAUGUCGUGAUUAGAGAUUGUGUUUAUAAGUAUGUAUGCAAAGGUGAAGCUUUGUUAUAAAACCCAAAGAUCCAAUGCUGUAAACAUUCCAGAGAAAUUAAAUGAUGUUAUUAUGGUGUUGGUGAAAAGAGUGAACGUUUAUUUCUGACUCCUGGGAAGAGUUUAAAAUAUCUGUAUGGCAUUUGCAAAGAUGUGGGUUUAGUGGGAAGAAAACAUCAAAAUCAGUUUAAUGAAAAUGAGGAAAUUCAGAUACUAUUAAAUGAAAAAGAAUGUAGCAUUUAUGAAAAAUCCUUGGUGGAGAACCAGAACUGCAUAAGAAUGUACUGGGAGGUGAAACACACCAAUGUAAGGUACAGCAUGGGCAUCGUGACAUAUAGGAUAUUUAGUGGGGGAAUAAAGUGGAACAAUCUGCAUCUAACUCCAACAAUACAAAACUUCUGUAUAGCUUGCUGUGAAGUUUAAGGGCCAUAAUCAUCUGUUAUUUCUCUGAGUACUGACUUCCAAAGAACUGCUCAGAGACCCCUAAAGAUAGUUUUGUCAGGUGGUAAGAACACUAACAAACUUUUAAAUAAUCUCAGGUUGAUAAUGAGCAUACUGGCUUGAUUUCCCGUAUGCCCAUAAAAGAACAUAAGGUAGAAAGUCCUUCCAUUCAAGAAGUUGAAAAUGUAAAAAAAGCUAGAUGGUGGAAAAUUUUCUGGGACAGAUGGUCUCUGAGCUGACAUCUUGAAAUGUGGAAGUGAAAGCCUGAUUCAACAUCUAAAUUAACGCAAAAAGUUUGGAUGGAAGGGAAUGUCUCAAAUGAUUGGAAAGAUGUUCUCUAUAAAGGGAAACAGAACUGUUGAAAUGACCAUAGAAUAUCUUUCUGUUGUAGGCAAGGUGUUGUGUAGGAUCAUGCUAGACGGACAUCACUGGUAAGGUCCUCCUUAGGUCUCAGUGUAGUUUCAGAAAUGGCAGGAAAACAGAUAUCUUUUCUAUUAGUACAGGGAAAAUGGCAUUGGGCAGAAGAUGGACCUGUAUCAAGUCUGUUUAAGAUUUUUAAAUUCAUCAUCAUCAUCAUCAUUUAAUGUCCGUUUUCCGCGCUAGCACAGGUUGGAUGGUUCGACCGGGGUCUGGGGAGCCAGAGGCUGCUCCAGUCUGAUCUGGCAGUGUUUCUACAGCAGGAUGCCCUUCCUAACGCCAACCACUCCGCGAGUGUAGUGGGUGCUUUUUACGUGCCACCUGCAGAGGGGUCUGGCACCAGCUACGAUCGGUUGGUGCUUUUUAUGUGCCACCGGCACAGAAGCCAGUCGAGGCGGGGCUGGCAUUGGCCACGUUCGGAUGGUGCUUUUUAUGUGCCACCGGCACAGAAGCCAUUCGAGGCGGAGUUGGCAUCGGUCACGUUCGGAUGGUGCUUUUUAUGUGCCACCGGCACAGAAGCCAGUCGAGGCGGCACUGGCAACGGCCACGUACGGAUGGUGCUUUUUAUGGUAUCACAACUACUGUUUCCAUUGAUAUUUGGUUUGAUGUUCAUGUACAUGCACUUGACUCAACAGGUCUCCUCAAGCACAGCGAGAUGUUCCGGGAUCCAAGGUACUUUGGGCAGGGGCUAUGCGGAACUGGUGCCGGAAGCAUCCCGGGUUUUAGUAGUCACAGCACAUCUCCAGAGAUCUCGGUCCUUCACCAUUGCCUCAGUGAGGCCCAACGCUCUGAGGUCAUGCUUGACUACCUCAUCCCAUGUCUUCCUGGAGUGACACUUCUUCACACAUCUCUCCUCAUCCAUCCGCAGUACAUGACCAUACCAUCGCAAGCGUCGCUCUUGCACACCGCAUCUGAUGCUUCUUAUGCCUAGCAUUUCUCUCGGUGCUUACACUCUGUCAUGCAUUCACACUGACAUUACACAUCCAGCGGAUCAUGCUAGCUUCAUUUCUUUCAAGUCUACGCAUGUCCUCUGCAGUCACGGCCCAUGUUUCACUGCCGUGAAGCAUGGCAGUUCGCACACGUGCAUCAUACAAUCUACCUUUCACUCUGAGUGAGAGACCCUUUGUCGCCAGUAGGGGUAGGAGCUUUCUAAACUUUGCCCAGGCUAUUCGUAUUCUAGUGGUGACACUCUCUGAGCAUCCACCCCCACUACUAACUUAGUCACCCAGGUAGCAGAAACUAUCAACUACUUCUAGUUUCUCCCCCUGGAGUGUGAUGGAAUUUGUUUUCUGAGUAUUUGUGGUGUCUAUUGACCCUGUGCAUCUGCCGCACAUGAAAGCUAUCUUAUCAGUUAAUUUCCCUUUGAUGUUGCUGCACCUCUUAUGCAUCCAUAGCUUACACUGGGUGUAUCUUAUGGAGUUUCUACCUACACGUCGAACAGGGCCACCUGCCCGAUGGGGUGUGUGCUGAGUUCGCCUUUCUGCAUACUAUAACUUUGGUCUUCGCUACAUUUACUCUAAGCCCCUUUGAUUCUAACCCUUGUUUCCACACCCGAAAUUUCUUUUUUAGUUCCUGUAGUGAUUCUGCUAUGAGGGCCACGUCAUCAGCAUAGAGGAGCUCCCAGGGGCAACCUGUUUUGAAUUCCUCUGUUAUUGCCUGGAGGACUAUGAUGAAUAAAAGGGGACUGAGGGCUGAGCCCUGGUGUACACCUACUUCUACCCGGAAUUCUUCACUAUAUUCGUUGCCAAUCCUAACCUUGCUGACAGCCUCUCUGUAUAGAGCCUGUACAGCCCUUGUUAGCCAUUCGUCAAUCUCCAGUUUCCGCAUCGACCACCAGAUAAGGGAUCGGGGAACCCUGUCAAAGGCUUUCUCCAAGUCCACAAAAGCUAUGUAGAGGGGUUUAUCUUUAGCUAGGUACUUCUCCUGCAGUUGUCGGACCAGGAAUAUAGCAUCAGUGGUGCUUCUACCCGGCACAAAACCGAACUGCAUCUCAUCUAAGCAAAUUCUCUCCCUAAUGAGAUGGGUUAUGACCCUCUCUGUGACCUUCAUCACCUGAUCCAACAGUUUAAUACCCCUGUAGUUAUUUCUGUCUAGAGCAUCACCCUUACCCUUGUAGCAGUUGACUAUGGUGCUGCUACGCCAGUCAUUGGGUAUGACUCCAUUGUGAACUACCUGGUUAACAAUACGGGUGACUAGGCCAUAGCCCACAUAACCAGCUGUUUUAAGCAUCUCAGCAGUGAUACCUGAUGGGCCGGGGGCUUUACCUGGUUUCAUAUCCUUAAUUGCCUUAACUACAAGGGAGCUGUCUAUUUGGAUAGCUGGUCCCUCUACUGGGUCAACAUUUGGCAGGCUCUCCUCCUCCCAUUCAUUCUCCACAUUCAGCAGUCUUUCAUAAUGGCUUCUCCAAGCCUCUUUCUUUUCACCAACAUUAAAAGCAAGUGCUCCAUCAUCCAUGCGAACACAUUUCUCUCCUGUAACAUCACUAUUUUCUCUCACACACUGUCUAGCAAUACGAAAUACCUCAGUUCUUUGGUCCUCAUGUCGCUGGACAUUGGCAAAUUGAGAAUAGAAAUGCUUUGUGGAACAUUCUGGGGAAAUGUCCUCAUUAAUUUUGAUGGAAUAAAAGCAUGUGGGUGAUAAGCUCUUUGAUCCAAUUUUAGUUGUAAAAUGUUAAGCAAGGGGAUAUACCAGUACCAACUUCGUUUGCAUUAUACUUUGCUAUGACUUUUAAGGAUUAUUUACACAGGGUCUACAUCAGAUAUCAAAUAAGUGGGAUGUUGAAUAUAAGACUGCUUGGUAGAACAAAGCUGUUGUUUUCAUCGCUAAUUCACAAAUUGUUGUAUGCUGAUGACUGCAAUCAUGUUGCUCACUGCAGCAUCUGUGUCAAAUGUGUAUGAACAGAAAUUGCAGGUUAUGGAUAAAUUUGUUUUUUAAACUACUAAACAUGACAAAUAUGCUUGAGGAUGAAAUCUCCCUCCAAAUGAAGACAGUGAUGCAUUUAGAAAAUAGGAUGUAUGUUUAUGGUCUCAGCAUGGAAUUUCAAUUGAGACAAAGUCAAAGGUCUACACUACUUGUAUUUUGUUUUCAUUGCUAUAGACAUAUGAGAGCUGGAUUACUUAGUGGGGACAUGAAAUUUUAACAACAGUGUCUCUACUGUAUACCAAAUGUCCUGUGUAAGUACAUAUGUAGAUAUAUACAUGUGUAUGUAUUAACUUUUACAAGAAAAAGAUUGACAGUGACUUCGAAAUUUUGGUUUGCUCAUCAUCAUCAGUCUAAU